rnacentral:misc_RNA from 1 species
AACGCAUAUGGCACCCGAGACUUCUGUCGAGGGUAUGUCUGCCUCAGAGUCGGCGUAAACUAUCCACCCGCUGACGCACGCCAUUGGUGUGCUGCGGGUCGGGAGCUGGUCCUCCCAGGCGAAAGGCUGGGUGGGCCGAAGGGGAGAUACGUAGCGGCGCCGGUAAUCCGCCGGCGGGGGGGACCACGAUUUGGUGGGAGGACCUCGGUCCGCGUCAUCGUCGUGUGCGCCACCCUGCCACGCAUGCGGCCCGGUUGGCGAGCCGCCGCGCUCUUUUUAUUAUUUAUUAUCUCUUCGACCUGAGUUCAGGCAAGAUCACCCGCUGAACUUAA